GGGUGUCGGUUUGUUAGAUUUGACUUGGUUUCUAACUUGCGAGAGUAAGUUAGAACUUUUGUUGUGAAUGUGUUUAAGUUUUUGUGCGAUUUGUGACUUGUGUUUGGACAUCUCCACGGUAAUUUUAAGGAAUUUAAUAUAGUCAGAUCAAGAAUCAUCGUUCACGAUGGGACGACGGUAGAAUAAAUAAACAACGAGAUAUAUUGCAGCAAAGUGAGGAUGGAGCAACAAAACGAAAGGCGAAUAAGACGUCGGUGCUGUAGGUGAAGAGGCAGGAACAUGGCAGCGUGGUGGAUCAGCGCGGUUCUUGCUGCGCUGACAUUAUCCACUGCGCAAACCUACCUCAUACUGGUCCCAGUCAACGCACCGGUCGGCUACGUCGUCCUAGAUUCUGCUGUCUACAAACUAGGCUCAGAACGCACAUACACCAUCGAUGUUCACCGUACUGCCAAUUUCGUUCACCACAUCCUCAGAGUCAACAGAACAUCUGGAUUGGUCACCCUCCGAAAACGCCUCAGAUGCGAUGGCGUACUGUAUCCUAAUCUCUUCACAUUUUACGUUGACUCUACUUCAGAACGCAUAAGAGAUAUAGAUUACUACAGCUUGCCUAUAAGAAUAUUAGUUAUUGGUGAAGAUUGUGAUCGAAGACAUGCAGAUCUAUAUGACAUUGAUUUUGAUAGAGUUUACGAUCAAGACGAUGCAGCGAUUCAGUACGAAGAUGAUACUGUUAGAGAUAAAAGAGAAAUACAACAAGAGAAUAUAGACUGGAGAUUGCUCGAGGAGAAUGAAUUAAACUCUAGUCAAUACAGUGUUCUAUCCACGGCACACCCGUGGUCAAAUGUUAUGUUUGAAGACUAUGUAGCUAGAAAUAGAAGUAGAAAGAAAAGAUCUCUAUUAGUACCGUUCGAUAUGACUAUAGAUGUAAAAAUAGCUGAAGCUAAACAAUGGAUAUCUGAGACUUAUGCUAGUUUUUCUAUACCAACAACGGACAGAUGGCAAGGAAUAUGUCUAAAGAAAUCGCAGUUUGUGAAUUCAUUAACAUCAUUUCUUCCUCGGACAGUACAAAAGAUGUGUAAAGUGCAAUUUUUGGAUGUAAGUGAUCCGAGAUUCAUUAUUGAAAGUAGUCAGGGUGAUCUUGUAGCUAGUAGUGAUGUGUGUAUUCAAGAACCAAUGUGGAAAGUUUCAGUGUUAUUUACGUUCAAUUGCGAUCGGACUAAUAUAGUGGAUUCAGACCAUCGCUUAAAAAUAGUGUAUCAUCAUCAAGAACUAAAUGAUACUGACAUAGCUAGGAGAGUGAAGAGAGAACUAAGGAACCAAUCACCAUACUUUGAACAAGCCUUGUAUGUAGCAUCGGUGGCAGAAGAACAGCCGCCUGGUGUUGUUGUUACCACAGUUAGAGCACGUGAUCCAGAAAACAGUCCCGUAACGUAUUCCAUGUCAAGUUUGCUGGAUAGUCGGUCAGCUGGUAUGUUCGCCGUGGAUACGAGAUCUGGAGUUAUCUCAACACAAGCACGGCUGGACAGAGAGAGACUAGAUGUCCACUACUUUCGAGUGGUCGCGCAAGAUGACACCUUCCCACCGAGAAGUGGAACAACCACCCUUCAGAUUAACGUGUUCGAUUGCAACGACCACGCUCCGGUAUUUGAAAUGCAGCAGUACGAAGCUUCUGUCAGAGAAGGAGCCAGCCCUGGCACUACGGUACUCACUCUAAAAGCCACUGAUCAAGAUAUUGGGAAGAAUGCAGAGGUCGAAUAUUCCAUUGAAUCCGUAACAGCUGACGUUCUUAACUCUGAUGAUAAUGAAUCAAUGGACAGCAGCAAAGAAGUGACAGAUACAGAGGACGUGUUCAGGGUUGACGGACGGAGUGGAGCAUUACUGACCAGAUCUAGCCUAGACAGAGAGAAAGUUUCCAGAUAUACUGUCAUUGUUAAAGCUACGGAUCAGGCCAACCCUGUGUCUGACAGAAUGUCAAGCAGCACAACGAUUCACGUAAAUGUUCAAGACGAUAACGACAACUACCCUCAAUUCAGUGAAAAAACUUACACAGUGACUGUGGACGAGGACAUUAGCGUUGCAGAUAAUCCUGUUAUCGCCAGAAUUAAAGCAAAGGACGCAGAUAUCGGAACUAACGCGGCCAUUCGAUAUGCAAUUAUUGGCGGGAACACACAAAUGCAGUUCUCCAUAGACAGCUUGAGUGGCGACGUGUCUUUAGUGAAGCCGUUGGAUUACGAGCAAGUGAGGAGUUAUCGACUGGUGAUCAGAGCUCAAGAUGGUGGAAGUCCUUCUCGCUCCAACACGACACAACUGUUGGUUAACGUUAAAGAUGUGAACGACAACACGCCGCGGUUCUACACCUCACUGUUCCAGGAGACGGUCAGCGAGAAUGUGCCUGUUGGAUACAGCAUUGUUAGGGUGCAAGCAUACGAUGCAGAUGAAGGUGUUAAUGCAGAACUGACGUACACACUCAUAGACAAGGAUUACAAUGGCAACAAUGAUCUGCCGAUCACUAUCGAUCCACGUUCCGGGUGGGUUUACACGUCCGCGCAUCUCGACAGGGAAGUGCAGUCCAAAUAUCAAUUACAGGUGACAGCAACGGAUAAUGGCACCCCGCCGCAUUCAGCUACGGCAUCUGUGGUGGUAGUGGUGCAGGACGUGAAUGACAAUGACCCGGUGUUUGCGCCUGCACAGUACGACGUAGAGCUGGCUGAGGAUGAGACUCCUGGUACACCAGUUGUUACUGUCACUGCCACUGACGCUGAUGAAGAUAACAGGCUCCACUACGAGAUCACAGGUGGCAAUACUCGCGGCCGUUUCUCGAUCACGUCACAAAAUGGCCGCGGUCUCAUAACCGUUGCUCAGCCGCUAGAUUUCAAGCAAGAGAGACGCUACGUACUCUCCGUCACCGCAACGGACUCCGGAGGAAGAUCCGAUACCGCCAUGGUGCAUAUCAACAUCACUGAUGCUAACAACUAUGCGCCUGUCUUUGAAAAUGCACCGUAUACUGCAUCAGUAUUUGAGGACGCACCAAUUGGCACUACAGUCCUCGUGGUAUCGGCGACGGAUAGUGACGUUGGCGUUAAUGCGCAGAUAACAUACUCCCUCAGCUCCGAAAUAUCUAACGAGGCCGUUGCUCAUCACGAACAAGAGUUCCUCAUCAACCCGCAAACUGGCGCGAUUACCACCAAUAAGUUGCUGGAUAGAGAAACUAUGAGUGGCUACUUACUAACAGUAACGGCGCGGGAUGGUGGCGUUCCCGCGCUGUCAGAUACAACUGACGUGGAAAUAUCUGUUGUCGACGUCAACGACAAUGAACCCGUGUUCAAACAACAGUUGUAUACAGCCACUAUCAUGGAGGAUGCCUUAGUUGGGACAUCAGUGAUUCAAGUGAGUGCCAGUGACGCUGAUGUAGGACUGAACGGCAGAGUUCACUACGAACUGGAUUCAAAAGACCGCGAAGAAGGCUCGUUUGUGAUUGACCCGGCUUCAGGUGUGAUCCGAACUAAUAAGGCCUUGGACAGAGAGUCUGCAGCCACGUACGAUCUUAAAGCGCUGGCGAUUGAUGGGGGCACUCCUUCGCAAAGCUCUACUGUAAUUGUGCACAUUAAGAUAGAAGACAUUAACGAUUCUCCGCCAGUGUUUGAGAGCGAUUGCCUCACGUUCUACAUAUCAGAGAACAGUCCUAUUGGAACAACUGUUGGAGAAGUAUACGCAAGAGAUCCCGACGAGGGUCCUAAUGCUGUUGUACAUUAUUCGAUAAAAGGUGGUGAUGAUUCAAAUAGCUUCUCUCUUGAAACAAGACAAGGUUCUGACAAAGCAGAGCUAGUUACAAUGGUAGAUCUAGACUAUGAGAGUCCUCGUAAGAAGUACGAGCUGAUAAUCCGAGCAGCCAGCCCGCCUUUGUGGAAUGACGUCAGAGUUGAGAUACUAGUCACGGAUGUCAAUGAUAAUGCGCCUAUGAUGAAGGAUUUUCAGAUUAUCUUCAAUAACUAUAAGGACUGUUUUCCCGUGGGACCGUUUGGACGAGUUCCGGCGUAUGAUGCCGAUGUUACAGAUAAACUACAAUACCGCAUAUUAUCUGGGAACAACGCAAACCUGGUACUGUUGAAUGAAACGACUGGCUCAAUGACACUCUCGCCACAGCUGAACACGAAUGUGCCCAAACUGGCUACCAUGGAAAUAUCUGUUACUGAUGGAGUGAACGAAGUAAAGGCAAUGAUGCAGCUGCUUGUGCGUCUGAUAACAGAAGACAUGUUGUUCAGUUCCAUAACGGUUCGACUUAACGAUAUGACAGCCGAACGCUUUCUGUCUCCACUGCUGGGGUUUUUUAUAGAUGGGCUUGCGGCCAUUAUACCCUGCCCCAAAGAGAACAUAUAUAUAUUUAGUGUUCAGGAUGACACCGACGUAACUGGCAACAUUCUGAACGUAUCAUUUUCUGCAAGAAGGCCUGAGGCUGAACUCGCAAUAGGCGGUGACUCGACACAAUACUACACUCCUACUCACUUGAGAGAGCGGGUGUACUUGCAUAGAGCGACCCUCGCGAGACUGGCUACCGUACAGGUCCUGCCAUUCGACGAUAACGUGUGCGUCCACGAGCCGUGCCUCAACUUCGAGGAGUGCCUCACGGUGCUGAAGUUCGGUAACGCCUCGGGCUUUAUCACCAGCGACUCUGUACUCUUCCGGCCCAUAUAUCCUGUCACCACGUUCACUUGUCAGUGCCCGAAGGGAUUCACAGGAUCAGUCGAGCAUUACAUGUGCGACACAGAAGUGGAUCUCUGUUACUCAUCACCUUGCCUCAACAACGGCACCUGUGUCAGAAACGAAGGCGGCUUCACUUGCGUCUGUCCACCUGGAUUCACUGGUGUUAAUUGCGAAACGAUAUUAACAAAAGCUACGUGUGACUUCAAUGGCGAUGGAUCUAUCUGUAGGAGCGGGUCGCAGUGUGUGGCGAGAAGAGAGGGUGGAAUACUGUGUCAAGGUUGCACCAUCGACCCGGCGUACACCACGGACAUGUGCGAGCUCCGGGCUAGAAGCUUUCCUGCCACGUCCUUCCUCACCUUUCCAGGACUCAAGAAGCGACACAGAUUCAAUUUGAAACUCAAAUUCGCAACCCAAUCUACAUCUGGUCUUCUGCUCUACAACGGUCGCUACAACGAGCGCCACGACUUCAUAGCACUGGAGGUGAUCACUUCGGGCGCCGUCAGGUUCACGUUCGCGUUAGGGGGCACAAAGAGUGAGGUGACAGUGCAAGGGGACGUAGCUGAUGGCAUGUGGCAUAGCGUGGAACUUCAAUAUUUCAAUAGAACAGCUACAAUGAUUAUCGACGACUGUGACAAGGCGCUAGCAUUAGCUGGCGCGGCGGAGUUCGGUGUGAAGUACGCUUGCGCGAACGUCACUACGAAAGUGCUCCCGCCUCGAUGCGAUUCACCGACUGAAACCUGUCACAGCUUUGUCCGUAGAUUCCUCGACCUCACCGGCCCGCUGCAGAUUGGUGGCUUACCGAACAUUCCCUCCAGCUUUCAAGUGAAGAACAAGGACUUCGUUGGCUGUAUCUCGGAUCUGUAUAUUGACCAUAGAUUUAUCGAUCUAAACAGUUACGUAGCCGACAAUGGCACUUUGGCCGGGUGUCCUGAAAAGCGGUCCCAGUGCGGUAGUGCACCUUGCUACAACGACGCCGAGUGUGUGGAUCUGUGGGAUACGUUCCUCUGCAAAUGUCCCGAAGGAUACACGGGGAAGGACUGCGCUGAGACCACAGCACCUCCGUGGCGAUUCAGUGGUGAUGGGAUGUUGUCCUUUAACCCUCUGCUGCGACCGAUCCAACUGCCCUGGCUCAAUGCAUUUUCAAUCAGAACGAGGCAGCAGGAUGCCUUUCUCAUGUCUGUGCAAGUGGGACAAAACAGCACAGUACUUAUCACUCUGAAGAACGGACUCCUUCACUAUGCAUACAACGGCGAAACAAUGUUCCUUCCAUCCCCAACAAUAGCCGACGGCAACUGGCACAGAAUCGAGAUCAAAUGGUUAGGAACUGACAUAUCUGUGGCCAUAGAUUAUGGACUCAGGACCGCGUUGUUGCCAAUGCUAGCGAAUAAGAUUCAAGGACAGUACAUAGGCAAGAUUCUGAUUGGCGGAUUGGAUACUACGGCUGGGAUUUUGUCAUCGGAUGUUGGAUAUUUUGAAGGAUGUAUUCAGGAUGUCCGAGUUGGUACGGCACAGUCGUUGUUGAACAGGCCGACUGUUCGAGAGAACGUUCGAGACGGAUGUGCGUCGCGGGCUGAUUGUAUGCUGUCGGUGUGUCCGCCUUAUAGUAAAUGCUCAUCAUCGUGGGAUACAACGCAGUGCGACUGCGAUCAAGGCCGCAUCGGACCGCAGUGCGUUGCUGCUUGUGAUCUGCAGCCGUGCGGACUGCACGCCACUUGUGUUCCGGACGACACGCGUCGCGGAUAUCUUUGUACCUGCCAUGUGGGCUACACUAUGAAUGAGGGUGUUUGCACGGAGACCCUCUCGGAGGAGCACUGUCCCGGAGGUUGGUGGGGGGUGAAGGCUUGCGGUCCCUGCGACUGUGACGUCACGAGAGGCUUGCAUCCUCACUGUGCGACCAAAACUGGAGAGUGCCAUUGUAAAGAAAACCACUACAAGCCCGAAGGCUCGUCGGAUUGCAUCCCCUGCCAGUGCUACGCUGCGGGGUCAGUUAACAGCUCCUGUGACAUAACAACGGGCCAGUGCUAUUGCAGAAGCGGAGUUAUAGGCCGGGCCUGCGACUCUUGCGCUAAUCUGUACGCUGAGGUUACGCCUAGUGCGUGCAAAGUGGUGUACGACGGCUGUCCGCGGUCAUUCGCGGCUAAGGUGUGGUGGCCUCGGACAAAGUUUGGGGUCGAAGCAGUCACUGACUGCCCUACUGGGUCCAGUGGUAGAGCCACGCGCAUGUGUGACGAGAGUCAGCUGGUGCCCUGGCAGGAACCGAAUAUGUUCAACUGCACGACGUCCACCUUCUAUCAGUUAAGGAAUCAGCUUCACAAAAUAGAAACAGGCGAACUAACGAUGAACACGUUUGUCGGUGUGCGACUGGCGGAGGAACUGUCGCUCGCGUGCGCGAACACGGAGCGACUGUACGGAGCUGACGUACUCGUAGCCGAGGGCAUAUUACUGGAACUUGUGCAGUACGAGCUCAGACAAGCCGGAUUGAACCUUACGCAUAGUCAGGAUAGAGACUAUGUUCGGAACAUAAUAAAAUCUUCAAAUACAAUUUUGAACGCCCAAUACAAGAGCGAAUGGGCUCGGAUUCGGGAGCUGACAGGACGCGGUGUCGAACAUUUGAUACAACAGUUCGAUAAAUAUAUAUCAGUGCUUGCUGAGAGUCAACACGACACAUACACGAGUCCAUUUGAGAUUGUCACCAGUGAUUUGGUAAUUGGAGUUGACAUCGUUACCGCUGAAUCGAUAUAUGGCUUCGAGCCAACGCAGCUGAGUCGAUUCAAUCUCGAUUCGGUCACGACUGAGCGAGUAGUGCUGCCAGACACAUCAUCGUUCAUUCACUCCCCCAUACAAACCACAGCUUACUAUGGAGUGAAAGCGAAGAGCAAGAAACCAACUAGCCCUACCGUAUCGUUCCCAAAGUAUAAUAAUUAUGUACGAAGCAAGAAUAAAUUCGAUCAAUAUUCGAGAAUUCUUCUGCCGCUCGAUUUGUUAGGAAUUAAUAAUGUUCAAGAUAAUCUAGAUUCGAUAUACGAAUCUCGUGCUGUUUUCUCCUACCUCCAGUACUCGAGGAACACGUCGGAGUUGAUGCCGCUGAGACUGGACGAAACUGUUACCAGGCGAUGGGGGGUUAAUAUUACUCUUGGAUCUCCAAUCCUGCAAGUCUCUCUCUAUGUGCCGGAGUAUGUGUGGGUCAAGGAGGCAAAGGAAGGCGAAGAUAUUGUUGACAUAAAUGAUAUUGAGGGUAUAACAUACAUUAACAAAGGAAAUCCGCACGCAAAUAACCAAAUUAGUUCUCAAGCAACCAGGAAUAGUUGGAACGCCGAUACCAAUGAUAACCAUGGUCCAGUUGUAAUACAGCCUACUUUCAAAAAGCAGGACAAAUCAGCUUACCCUGGCGAAACUCUGGAAAACGAAUCUUAUGUCGCUGAAAAACUUGAAAGUCUACAGUCUUUGUCUUUAAAACUGGAUGCCACAGAUAAAAAUAGAAAUAGUUCAACCAUAGAGAAGAAGUUAGUGUACAAGAGCCUUAACGGGAUUCGGUUGAAACGAGCGAUCAGGUUGCAGAUGUGGUUGGAUAUAAACAGAGAGACGUUUGGAUCCAGAACUAAUCCGCAAUGUGUUCAUUGGUCUACUUUACGAGGAGUGGGAGAGUGGUCCCGAGUGGGCUGCCAUACGGAGAUCGACUACGACUGGUCACCUUACUCCAAUGAACCGCUCCUCAUCAACUGUACAUGCAAUCAUCUCUCCACCUUCGCCGUUUUAGUUGACGAAGUUGAUAUCGAGUUUAUCCCGGAGCCAUCGCUGCUAGAGUCUGUGACGUCAUACACUGGGUUUAGUAUUUCUCUGCCGCUACUACUACUGACAUGGGCAGCGCUGUGCUCAAUGCGCGGAGGAGCUUCCACUGUCUCUAACUCCAUCCACAAGCACCUCAUCUUCUGCGUGUUCAUGGCAGAGCUGCUGUACUUGAUCGCACUGAAGGCCAGAAAUUCGUUAGUGCAGAAUGAGUUCGCGUGCAAGGUGGUGGCGAUGUCGCUGCACUACUGGUGGGUGAGCGCGCUGGCGUGGAGCGCGUGCGGCGCCUGGCACGUGCGGCGCCUGGUGCGGGAGGUGCGGGACGUGAACCACGGGCCGCUGGCCGCGCACCUGGCCGUGGCCUACGCCGCGCCCGCCGGGGCGCUGGCCCUGGCGGCCGCGCACCACCAGCACCAGUACGGGAACGCCUUGUUUUGCUGGGUAAGCUGCCACGAGGCAGUAGUGUGGUGGGUUGUGAUACCAGCGGCGGCUUACUGCGCUGCUGCUGUGGCACUUCUGGCUGCCGCAACCAGAGCCGCAUUCACCGUCAGAGAUCAUGUCAUUGGCUUUGGGAACCUAAGGAUUCUAUUAGCUGUGAGCAUCAUAUGCCUGCCGCUGCUCUGCAUGUCAUGGGCCAGUGCUCUAAUCCUGGGUAGUGAAGCCGGCGAUAGAAGAAACCUGCUGAGCUCUAUUCUAGCAGCUGCCGUGGCCUUGCAUGCUACUGCUGCCAGUCUGGGGUACAUUGCCUUCAAUAUACGUGUCAGGGAUAACCUAAAGAGAACGCUACUCAGGUGCCUGGGAAAGAAAGUGCCACUCGCCGACACUUCGGUUAUUAUUAGUACGAGUGCUCAGAAUUUGUCGCAUACAAACAGAUCUUCACUAGCAUACCACAGCAGCACGGAAGCAGGCAGGCAGCUUAGAAAUAUUGGUAUCUCUGCGUCUUCUACCACAUCCCGGUCAACGACCAAAACUAGUUCGAGCCCUUAUAGCCGAAGCGACGGUCAGCUGCGGCAGACAAGUACGUCCACAUCGAACUACAACACGAGCGCUAGCGACAUGCCCGCUUAUCUGAGAGGGUUCGAUUCUUCUCUGCACACCAGGAAAGAUGAUGAAAGACGUCGACGUCGGAAACAAACCAGCGGUGAAACUGGCGAGACUGAAAAUGCGACGGAGGCAACUGACAGCGAGAGUGAGAGCAGCGCCCGGAGCCUUGAUCUAGCCUCCAGCCAUUCCUCUGAUGAUGACGAGACCAGCACGAGAAGGUCGUCACACCCACCUUCAGCCACGAGAGAUCGCGGUAGCAGUACAGGAGGUAGUUACCUGCCGAAUAUAACGGAGGGUGCGCCUUUGGCAGUGUCUCCAAGAUGGCCGAUGCAUAUUAGAGAAGAAGCACAUCGCCCAGAAGGUCGUUGGUCCCAGGAGACGGGCUCAGAUGAAGUAAAUCCCGGGCCAGCCACGCCGUCGCCCAACCCACUACCUAACCCAGACCUGACGUCUGACGUAUACCAUCUGAACAGGCACCGGCUGAAACCUUCAAUAUUGGAGAACGUUCAUGACACCUAUGUUGCCAGUGUCGAAGCUUCUAGGUUGCCUCUAGAUAACAGAUACGGCGUAAUGGAAGACGAACUUAUGUACGGCGUUCUACCGACUGACACGGAGAAACAAAUGGCGUACGACCCUAACUAUGCAAUCUCACCAAUGUAUAGACUACCCGCAAACCCUUACGGUUCCAAAACCUACCUCUCGUCUAGAACAUCCGACUACGGAUAUAGCCCUACCAAAUAUCACACAGAAUCUAGUGUCUAUGGCUCCAGGGAUUUCCGGGAUUCUGUAGCAGCAAGAGAGCAUGAAGGAUAUCCGACAAGGGAUUUCCGGGAUACAGUACCUGGCCGCGAGCACGACGGGUAUAAUCAGGCGAGGGAUUUCCGCGAAUCCGUUACAACCCGGGAGCACGACGGAUAUCCGUCGCGGGAUUACCGCGACUCUGGAAUAGCAACAAUGCUCAAGAAUGAUUACCAGCGGAAGAUGGAGGGACAUUACGGAGAAUAUGCAGAUAGGAUGUCGGACGGCUCCGAGAAGCAUCAUCCGCAUGAUAAAUAUCUGUUCCCCUAUACUGCUGAAGAAGAUCACAUGAACUUGCGUGGCGUAAGUCAGCCUCCGCACAAUCUUGCUGGUACUGCAGAACCAGGUGACGGCCAACCCAUGGGAGCUCCUCUGGCUAGCAUGGGAGAAACUAGCGAAUGGUGGAGGUUAUAUGAAAAACACUCAUUAUAAAUCAUCUUUUGCUUUGCUAACUGGUGGUGUGGCGGAACUCAAAAUCAUCUAUAUCCAUCAUAGGGACGAGGAAGUCUACUACUGAAGAUGAUGCUGAAACCAGAGUAUGACAAGCAAACAAAUACUUAGUACAAGAUUUCCAAUGAAUCUCAAUUAGCUUACUUAAUGACUUAGUUGUACUUGUAUUGUUAAUUUAUGAUAAAUAAUUUUGCUCUUGUAAAGACUGUUAUUGUACUGCCAUAGCGUUACGGCUAUAUUUAUUUUGUCUAUGCUUUAAUAGAAUAUUAUUAAUAAUGUAAUAGUCUAGAUUUGUUAGUUAGACAUUUAUUUAGAAUGGAAAGAUAGUAUUAUUAUUUCAUCUAAGGUAUGUUUGUUAUUAUUAAGUAAAUUUUAAGAAUUUUAGCAAGUACACUAUAAAUGAUUUAUUUAUUAUAUGACAAUAACAUCGUCGUAUUCAGAGGCGAAUGAAAUCUUCUGGUAUUUUAUACCUAAUUAUUUCAACAGAGGCAGAAAGGUAUUUUUGGCGAGUGAGGUCAUUCUUAGAUUACCUUACCUUCAAUUUAGUAUACUGUGAAGCCGUUACUUUAUAGUUAGUUAUACUAAUUACUCAGCAUUUUUGACGCAGCAUUCAAAUGAGUGUAUUAAAGUUUUCUAGUUCUGUCAAACGAGUACGUCGUCUUCGUACGAGUAGUCUUUCGAGUACUGUCAAAUUAAAAAUAUUUAGGAUUAAACUGUAGGUAUUGUUUAUAAACGUUAGGCACUCGAGUAGUUUUGAUUGAUCGAAAACGUUUUGUUUUGAAAACGCCAGUGCUCACAGUAGAAUAUGGCGGCGAUUUAUGACGUCAUAUAUUUCCCUAGGGUACUGCGGCAGUAUACUGACAGUCCAUAACGGAACGAUUUUUUCUACAGUAAUAGCACUGCAGUGCUCGCAGUGCAUAUCGGAACAUACUCAUAGUACGUGGUUGGUUAAGAAAUUAAUAUGACGUAGUCGUGUAACGUGACACAUCGCUAUGGGUCGCUACGUACUAUAUUGAUGCCAUGUUACUAUUGAUAUGACUAGCCUAUCCAUUAAUUUUUGGUACAUGCGCCAAUAUGCGCAUAUGCGGGCCAAAAAAUCUCUCCUUACAUUCCAUUUUCCAAUCGCAUCGCAUUAAUGCUCUGUCUACACAGAGCGUUGCUUGAAAUGCAUUAGAUACUGCUAGAAGUAGGUAGCUAUUAGGUGUGAUGUUGCUUGGACUAAAGCUCAUAAGUAAAUUAUAUGUAUAAUUUGGUCUUCAUAAUAAUUAUGUAGAUUUAUCUAGAUGUAAUAAAGAAAUAAAUAACAUCCAAAGUUGUGUAAAUGAUAAAAUAAAUUAAAAUACAAACAUAAGUAAAGUAUUUUUGUAUAAUACACCAAAUAAUUUAAAUAGGUAAGAAUAUUAAUGUAGCUGCAAUUGUUUUUGUUUUAUUAUUUAAAUAUAAUAAAUAGGAUUGUAAUUAGCAGUCAGAAAUGUAAUUUAGUUUUUUAGAACAAUUUUAAUGUAAAGAGUUACGUGACCGAGUUUUGUGUGCAUUAUAAUGUUCAACGAAGAGUCCACCUAUUUUGUAAAUAUACCUUCAUAGAUUUUUACACGUUAAUUGUAAGAUUUUAAAGCUUUAUUUGUGUAAUUAGUACGUUUUGCCAUAGUAGUAUUAGAUUCAUAAUUUAAAAAACGUCGAAAUGAACCCACUUUUAACAUUUUAUUAAAUUUCCCACAUAUUUUGUAUUAGUCGCGCCAUUUGUACCUAUGUAUAGUAAUACAAAGUCAAGAUUUCUUUAUCAAAUAUAAUAGGUACCUACUACAGUAUAUAUUAUAUACCUAAUAUAGUUCGAAGUGUUCAUGACUAGUAUAUCAUCACUGAAAUAAUAACAUGGUGGUAUAAUUUUUUGUUAAGUGUGUUUGUCAUUAAAAAAGACAUUAUUUGUUUUAAAUAUUUGGCAGCAUAGUAUCAGUAGGUAUACAUUCCAUUUUGUGAUAAUAUUCAACAUUUAAUGAUUUUUAUUAGGUAUUCAACUUUUACACUUUCGUGUUUUACAAAAAUAAAUAUUUUAUUGCUA